CUCAUAUUAAAAGAUAUAAAAUUUUAAUCAAUAACGAGAGUGACGGGCGAUGUGUACACACUUCAGAGCCAAUAUCAGUUAAAUUAAAUAAUUUAAAUUACUAUCAAAUCCACCUUCAUUAAAAUAUUACAAAAUUAAAUCCAUAAUAAAAAAAAAUUAUUGUAACCCAUCAUACACUUAACUAUAAGCUGCACCUUGACCUGAAAUAAAUUUUAAUAAAAAAAACAAGAAAAUUUUUUCUCCAAAAAGAUUUUCUGAUAACGGAGAUAUACAAACAAAUAAAUUAAGUAAAGUAAAUCGUGUACUAUCAAUCAUGAGAUAGGUUCCUCUGAAUGGAAUGAAAUACCGCCAAAUUCUUUGGGUUUAAAGACCUUAACUAAUAAUACCCAGGUAAAACAAAUUUACAUUUAAAAUAAUA
rnacentral:rRNA from 1 species